GAUGAACGCUGGCGGCGUGCCUAAUACAUGCAAGUCGAGCGAACAGACGAGGAGCUUGCUCCUCUGACGUUAGCGGCGGACGGGUGAGUAACACGUGGAUAACCUACCUAUAAGACUGGGAUAACUUCGGGAAACCGGAGCUAAUACCGGAUAAUAUAUUGAACCGCAUGGUUCAAUAGUGAAAGGCGGUUUUGCUGUCACUUAUAGAUGGAUCCGCGCCGCAUUAGCUAGUUGGUAAGGUAACGGCUUACCAAGGCAACGAUGCGUAGCCGACCUGAGAGGGUGAUCGGCCACACUGGAACUGAGACACGGUCCAGACUCCUACGGGAGGCAGCAGUAGGGAAUCUUCCGCAAUGGGCGAAAGCCUGACGGAGCAACGCCGCGUGAGUGAUGAAGGUCUUCGGAUCGUAAAACUCUGUUAUUAGGGAAGAACAAAUGUGAAAGUAACUAUGCACGUCUUGACGGUACCUAAUCAGAAAGCCACGGCUAACUACGUG
rnacentral:rRNA from 1 species